UUGCUCUUCAACGAGGAAUGCCUAGUAAGCGUGAGUCAUCAGCUCACGUUGAUUACGUCCCUGCCCUUUGUACACACCGCCCGUCGCUACUACCGAUUGAAUGGCUUAGUGAGAUCUCCGGAUUGGCUUUGGGAAGCUGGCAACGGCUACCUAUUGCUGAAAAGCUGAUCAAACUUGGUCAUUUAGAGGAAGUAAAAGUCGUAACAAGGUUUCCGUAGGUGAACCUGCGGAAGGAUCAUUAAUGAAUUUAGAUUGAACCAUAGGCGAAAGCCAGUGGUUCUUCUUUCAUAUCCAUAACACCUGUGCACUGUUGGGUGCUUGCAUCCACUUUUAAACUAAACAUUAUUGUAACAAAUGUAGUCUUAUUAUAACAUAAUAAAACUUUCAACAACGGAUCUCUUGGCUCUCGCAUCGAUGAAGAACGCAGCGAAAUGCGAUAAGUAAUGUGAAUUGCAGAAUUCAGUGAAUCAUCGAAUCUUUGAACGCACCUUGCGCUCCUUGGUAUUCCGAGGAGCAUGCCUGUUUGAGUGUCAUGAAACCCUCAAACCCAAGUUUUGGAUUUCGAUCCAUGCUUGAGUUUGGAUUUGGAUGUUUGCCGGUGAUGAACCGACUCAUCUUAAAAGUAUUAGCUUGGAUCUGUCUAUAUGACUGGUUUGACUUGGCAUAAUAAGUAUUUUGCUGAGGACAUCUUCGGAUGGCCAGGACCUAGACUACUGUCUGCUAACUAAACCAUCACUUUAAGUGCAUCUUUGGAUGUUACUCAUUGUGUAACUUUGACAUCUGGCCUCAAAUCAAGUAGGACUACCCGCUGAACUUAAGCAUAUCAAUAAGCGGAGGA
rnacentral:rRNA from 1 species